UACAGAGGGGGCAAGCGUUGUUCGGAAUUACUGGGCGUAAAGGGCGCGUAGGCGGCCUGCUAAGUCGAACGUGAAAUCCCUGGGCUCAACCCAGGAACUGCGUCCGAUACUGGUUGGCUUGAAUCCGGGAGAGGGACGUGGAAUUCCAGGUGUAGCGGUGAAAUGCGUAGAUAUCAUUUGGAACGCCAAUGGUGAAAACAGGUAGCUGGGAGUGUGCUGACGCUGAGACACGAAAGCCAGGGGAGCGAACGGG
rnacentral:rRNA from 1 species